UCCGAGUUGACCCCGGCAGUCUCCUACGAGUCCCCACCAUUACGUGCUGGCAACAUAGGACGAGGGUUGCGCUCGUUGCGGGACUUAACCCAACAUCUCACGACACGAGCUGACGACAGCCAUGCACCACCUGUGAUCCGGCCCCGAAGGGAAACCCUGUUUCCAGGGCGGUCCGGAACAUGUCAAGCCCAGGUAAGGUUCUUCGCGUUGCGUCGAAUUAAACCACAUGCUCCGCUGCUUGUGCGGGUCCCCGUCAAUUCCUUUGAGUUUUAAUCUUGCGACCGUACUUCCCAGGCGGCACGUUUAACGCGUUAGCUUCGCCACAAAAGGGGUCGAUUCCUUUUACAGCAAACGUGCACAGUUUACGGCUAGGACUAC
rnacentral:misc_RNA from 1 species